rnacentral:rRNA from 1 species
UACGGGGGGGGCAAGCGUUGUUCGGAAUUAUUGGGCGUAAAGAGCUCGUGGGCGGCUUGUCGCGUCGACUGUGAAAACCCGUGGCUCAACCAUGUGGUCUGCAGUCGAUACGGGCAGGCUAGAAUUCGGUAGGGGAGACUGGAAUUCCUGGUGUAGCGGUGAAAUGCGCAGAUAUCAGGAGGAACACCGGUGGCGAAGGCGGGUCUCUGGGCCGAUAUUGACGCUGAGGAGCGAAAGCGUGGGGAGCGAACAGG